rnacentral:rRNA from 1 species
UGGGGAAUUUUGGACAAUGGGCGCAAGCCUGAUCCAGCAAUGCCGCGUGAGUGAAGAAGGCCUUCGGGUUGUAAAGCUCUUUUGUCAGGGAAGAAACGGCUGCGGCUAAUAUCUGCGGCUAAUGACGGUACCUGAAGAAUAAGCACCGGCUAACUACGUGCCAGCAGCCGCGGUAAUACGUAGGGUGCAAGCGUUAAUCGGAAUUACUGGGCGUAAAGCGUGCGCAGGCGGUUUUGUAAGUCUGUCGUGAAAGCCCCGGGCUCAACCUGGGAAUUGCGAUGGAGACUGCAAGGCUUGAAUCUGGCAGAGGGGGGUAGAAUUCCACGUGUAGCAGUGAAAUGCGUAGAGAUGUGGAGGAACACCGAUGGCGAAGGCAGCCCCCUGGGUCAAGAUUGACGCUCAUGCACGAAAGCGUGGGGAGCAAACAGGAUUAGAUACCCUGGUAGUCCACGCCCUAAACGAUGUCUACUAGUUGUCGGGUUUUUAAAUUAACUUGGUAACGCAGCUAACGCGUGAAGUAGACCGCCUGGGGAGUACGGUCGCAAGAUUAAAACUCAAAUGAAUUGACGGGGGUCAUAGCUG